UCCAAAACCUAAAACAGAAAAAACAAUUUUUUAUUUUGUUUUGAAACUGAAAAACCAAAGAAUGAACCAUAAGAUUACAAUUCUAUAAAUACCUAUAACUGCUAAAGUAAGAAAAUGAACAAACAUUUCUUUAACUUAAAAUCAGACGGUGCUUCACUGAUGUGCUAAAUAUUUUUUUCUUGUCUUAGCUGUUAUGCUUAAGGUGAUUGUCUUAUGAUAAAGAACAAAAGCUGUAGUCUUUAUCGAUAGUGGCAGUAAAACAACACAACCCCUUUGCCAAACGUCGAAAUUCCCUGGACCUUUGGCCGAAACAUUUGCGGCACAAUUACAGAACUACUUCCUCUGCACUUGAUCACAGGAUUGGAGAAGCAAGACGAGUCAAACAAGACAGAGAGCCAGAUCGUUCCUGAGAACAAACAACACGAAGAAUCAAUUAGGCAAUAGAGUUUAAUAGUCCUUUGAACUUCAGGUUGCCCUUAAAUUCAAUGCGGAAAAAAACCAAAUGAUUAAAUCUCAGCAGCAUGAAGUCUGGUCAGCCUGGAUAUGAUGUAUUACAGACCCAUGUACAGACAUACGGGCUGAUGCACAAACUGUUUCUUUGUUGGAUCCCUGAUACAGAAGGUGUCACAAGAAGCCUGAAUUACAAGGACAUCUUGGAAGAGCAAACUUGAAAGGAAAUGUCUCACUAACCUUGAUGGCUGACAGGAUCGAUUGUUGCAGACUUACCAGGGCGAAUUUUGUCUCAGACAACUUAAUUCCACCCUCUGCUUCUCCAGUAGUUUGUUCAAGUUCAUAACGUUCCAAACUUCAAGCGAGUGUCAAGGAAACCUUUGAGCUAGCAUAAUGUAGAUAUAAAACUUUUAAAAGGCCAACAUCAAAUCAGAGCCCUCACUGCAUGAGAAAUUCAGAAAAUUAUCAAUUUAGUGAAUACUUGUCAGAGGAAAUGUAAUGCAUUUGAAAUGAAUUGAUCAAGGAUCAAAGAACAUUCAAAGCUAAAAAAAAAUUCCCUUCCUUUAUUCUUGACAGGACACUAAAUGUAUUCAAAUCAUAUUUCAUGCAAAUUGCUUUAUAAUUUAUAUGAAAAUUCUAGCAAGAUAUUAAAAUUGUGCUCGAUAGCUCUUAAGUGCUGUGAAGCAUAAGACUUAAUUGUAGAAAUGUGAGAAUAAUUUUGUGAAUUGAUGAUAGUCCAUUUUAAAAACGAUUCAUUUCGGGUAAGGUAUUUCCUUAUAGGGUUUUUUUUCUGUCUAUUUCUGAGCCUUUCACGCGUAUCCUGUCUUUUCUUUAAUUUAGCAAAUCAGCUAAUAAAUGCCAUUCCCAUUAGGAGAGUGAAAAAGGAUAUAAAUGACACCCUUUAAAAUCUUGCAAAAAGUCAUUAAACCUUUUAAACAGAAGAAAAUGGGUGAAGGAAUGCUUGAACAAAAUGAGUUUGUUGAGAGGGAAAAAGAGAAAUUUCAUAUAAACAGGCAUCAACAUCAGGAAAAUUGUUAGGCAAUGAAUAUACACUAAUAAAUGUACAAAAGUAUGCAGCCAUAUUGGUUUAAUAUGAUUCCAGUUCACUAUGUGUAGCAACAACAGCUUUAGUUUUUCUGAGAAUGAUUUCUAUGUGGUAUAGGACUGUGUUUUUUCCAGAAACGUAAUAGUCAGAUCAAACACGUGUCAAGGGAACUUCGAAGUUUCCUUGACAAGACUUUUUGUUACAUUGCACAAAAAGUCUCGACUUGCUUUCUCCUCUCUAAUUUCUCCCAAAAGUGUUUUUUUGGGGUUGAGAUCUGGACUGUAAUAUUGAAAAAGGAACAUGCCAUCCCCAAACAUAAAUGGAUAGUUUUUCAAAAGUAGCAAGCUGAGGCCAGGUUUGCAAUUUAGCAAAAUUUCUUCUUCUUGUACUUUGUCAUAAUCACAUUUCAAUCUGGAGAGACUCAGACGGAGAAAGACAGCGAUUAAAAAGGUUUAUUGACAGGCGUGAAUUAAAGUUGUCUGGUGUUCGGGCCCCGGCCGAGGACAUCGAGCAUCAGGUUGCAAUAAGCCCAGAUGAGCAUUCCCGAUGCUGAUUAGGAAUGUCAUCCCCCGGGGCCCGACACUGGUGGUGGAGGUCGGAGAAGGACGGGUGCCCGAAGAGCCAGGAGAGUGGAGGUGGAGAAGGAGCGGAGGAGGGUUGAGCGCAGCUGGAAAGCGGAAGAUGCCAUGGAUGGAGGUCCUUAUCAACUGGGGCUUGGUCGGUGAUUAGCCGUGAUGUGGCUUGGUCCGGCGUUGAUAGGUCGACGACGAUGAGCGAGAUGCGCCGAUUGGUAUGAUGCAGGUUCAGUUUCCAUUGGCUACCAGAAGACGAAGAAGCCAAAUGAAUGUGGCUAAAGAAUGUAGAAUCCAGAUGCAGGGUAGACUUGGACCAGAAGACCUGGGUGGCCUGGAAGGUUUAUACAACAACAACAACUGGUUUUUAUAGAAUACAGUGCUAAGCCAUUCAGUGAUUCAUAAACUGAAUACAAAAAUAUUGUAAAGUCUAUUUCCCAAGAUACAGGAAGACAGUGGAUGGACUUUAAUAUUGGGGUGAUGUGAUCUAGAUUAUGAGAGGCUAAAAUAUGUAGCAGGUAAUAACAUUCUUUAUCUAGCGAGGCAAGUUACACUUUAUCUGUCUAUAGGGUACAAAAUGCUGCUGCACGUCUUUUAACAGGUACACAAAAAUGUGACCAUAUUUCCCCUAUUUUAGCUUCCUUACACUGGUUGCCAGUACAUUUUAGGAUUCAUUUUCAAAUCCUUUUAUUUGUUUUUAAAGCUCUUAAUGGCCUUGCCCCUCCCUAACUGAGCUGUUACAUUCGUACACACCCUCCCGUUCCCUCAGGUCGGCUGAUCAGCUGCUUCUGAAGUUACCAAAGACAAAGUGCAGCUCAGAGGGGGCCGUGCGUUUUCUGUGGCAGCUCCCAAGCUAUGCAAUGAUCUUCCUUUGGGCGUCAGACAGGCCUCUUCACUCGCUGCUUUUAAGUCCCUUCUUAAGACCCAUCAUUUUUUCUUUGGCUUUUGGCAGAAUCUGAGAGGUUUCACUUUGUUGUAUUGUGUCUGUACAUUAAUAAGUAUUUUAUAUUCGAUCUUUACUAUUUUAUAAUUGCAUUGUAUUUUAUGAUUGUGUAUAGCACUUUGGCCCUGUCGGUGUAUAAAGUGCUUCAUAAAUAAAGUUGGUAUGGUAUUUGUGCAUGUGUGUUUGUGUGUGUGUUCAUGUGUGAGUCCACUUGUGUACAAAAAGAAUAUGAAAGGCAGCAGUGCAGCACAGAACUGGGCAGUAACAGACAAAUACUAUGAUUCAUGCAUAUAUCUGAGUAUCAUUUGGACAUAUACUGUAAUAUUGCUCUGGCUCUGCACACUCAUUAAAUGGCACAUACACCGCACAC